ensembl:lncRNA
GCACCAUCUAGAGAACUCUUAAAUCGAGCCAGUAGAGACCAAAGCCAGUUCUCUGUCUAGGGUCCAAUAUACUGCACCAUCCAAACUGUGUUCUCCUGUUUGGUACCUAGUGAACUAGGCCACUAGGAUUAUAGUCGGGUCUAAACUGUGUUCUCUGUGGUACUGAGUGAACUAGGCCAUUAGGAGUAUAGUCAGGUCUAAACUGUGUUAUCCUGUUUGGUACCUAUACUGAAUACAUUACUCUAGUCAACUUGAGGUGGAGGUGGUGCCUCGCCUGGUUCACCAACUACUUCUCUGAUAGAGUUCAGUGUGUCAAAUCGGAGGGCGUUUUAAAUAAAUGGGCAUUUUGGAUAUGUAUCAACAGAAUUAAUCGGACAAAAGGACCAUAUGUGAUGUUUAUGGGACAUAAUGGAGUGCCAACAGAAGAAGCUCGUCAAAGGGGUGCUAUCCUCAGAUAAUGGCAUCGUUUGUUUUCGCCGAAAAGCCUUUUUGAAAUCUGGCAUGGUGGCUGGAUUCACAACACGUGUAGCUUUAAUUUGUUACAUGUGUGUUUUAAUGAAAGUCUGAUUUUUAUAGUUAUUUAUUUGAAUUUGACGCUCAGCAUUUUCUCUGGCUUUUGGCCAAGUGGGACGCGUCCCACAAAUCCCAGGGAGGUUAAGUAACAUCUAACUUCAGUUAUUGUGAAGUACUUGUAACCAUUUGGUAAAGCAGGAGAUGAUGUCCUUGUUAAUUUAUGUCUCUCUAAUAUUCAGCCCAUUCAGAUGUAAUGAAGAGUGUAUAAAUCUAGUCUAGUUAGGGGUUCCGCAGCUAAAUUGGUCAAACCUUAUUGUUGGUACAAAAAUGCAAAUUCCCUUGAGAUGAUAUGGCCUAGGAGGGUGCAACCUUUCAUGAUGGUAAAUGACCAUAACAAAGCCCUCAACUACAGAGAGAUGAACCUGGAGAAGAGUCCCCUAAGCAAGCUGGUCCUGGGGCUCUGUUCACAAACACAAACACACCCCACAGAGCCCCAGGACAGCAACACAAUUAGACCCAAUGAAAUCAUGAGAAAGCAAAAAGAUAACCACUUGACACAUUGGAAAUAAUCAACCAAAGAACAGAGCAAAUUAGAAUGCUAUUUGGCCCUAAACAGAGAGUACACAGUGGCUGAACACCUGACCACUGUGACUGACCAAAAAUUAAGAUGUACAGACUCAGUGAGCAUAGCCUUGCUAUUGAGAAAGGCUGCCGUAGGCAGACCUGGCUCUCAGGAGAAGACAGGCUAUGUGCUCACUGCCCACAAAAUGAGGUGGAAACUGAGCUGCACUUCAUAACCUCCUGCCAAAUGUAUGACCAAAAUAGAGACACAUAUUUCCCCCAGAUUACACAGAUCCACAACGAAUUUGAAAACAAACCCAUUUUUGACAAACUCCCAGAUCUACUGGGUGAAAUACCAGUGUACCGUCACAGCAGCAAGAUGGAUGAGCUGUUGCCACAAGAGGUGGUCAACCAGUGAGACAACACUGUAAAUAAAACCUAUAUUCAUCUGAUUACUUAUCUUCACCUACUAGUCAUACUACUAUUUACACAUAGUUAAAAGUUAAAAACACUGUACACAGUUGAUAAUAUACUAUUUGAAGCAUCGUUAUCCUUGUGAAUCUUAAAAACACUGUACACAGCUGAUAAUAUGAAGCGUUAUUAUCCUUGUGAAUCCUUCAUGAUGUCAUGUUUACUGGACAUUUGAUGUUGUUUUUAGUUUCUUCUCACUUUUGUUUCUUGUUCAUUUCACUUGCUUUGGCAAUGUAAACGUGUUUCCACGGCAAUGUAAAUGUGUGUUUCCACGGCAAUGUAAACGUGUGUUUCCACGGCAAUGUAAACGUGUGUUUCCCACGGCAAUGUAAACGUGUGUUUCCCAUGACAAUGUAAACGUGUGUUUCCCAUGGCAAUGUAAACGUGUGUUUCCACGGCAAUGUAAACGUGUGUUUCCACGGCAAUGUAAACGUGUGUUUCCACGGCAAUGUAAACGUGUGUUUCCACGGCAAUGUAAACGUGUGUUUCCCAUGACAAUGUAAACGUGUGUUUCCACGGCAAUGUAAACGUGUGUUUCCCAUGACAAUGUAAACGUGUGUUUCCACGGCAAUGUAAACGUGUGUUUCCACGGCAAUGUAAACGUGUGUUUCCCACGGCAAUGUAAACGUGUGUUUCCCAUGACAAUGUAAACGUGUGUUUCCCAUGACAAUGUAAACGUGUGUUUCCACGGCAAUGUAAACGUGUGUUUCCACGGCAAUGUAAACGUGUGUUUCCACGGCAAUGUAAACGUGUGUUUCCACGGCAAUGUAAAUGUGUGUUUCC